GUAGGUGGCAAGCGUUGUCCGGAAUUAUUGGGCGUAAAGCGCGCGCAGGGUGGUCCUUUAAGUCUGAUGUGAAAGCCCACGGCUCAACCGUGGAGGGUCAUUGGAAACUGGGGGACUUGAGUACAGAAGAGGAAAGCGGAAUUCCAAGUGUAGCGGUGAAAUGCGUAGAGAUUUGGAGGAACACCAGUGGCGAAGGCGGCUUUCUGGUCUGUAACUGACGCUGAGGCGCGAAAGCGUGGGGAGCAAACAGGAUUAGAUACCCUGGUAGUCCACGCCGUAAACGAUGAGUGCUAAGUGUUAGGGGGUUUCCGCCCCUUAGUGCUGCAGCUAACGCAUUAAGCACUCCGCCUGGGGAGUACGGCCGCAAGGCUG
rnacentral:rRNA from 1 species